GGGAGAAAGAAACCAAAGAAGAGAGAGAAAAAGAACAACAAAAGGAAAAAGGAGAGGAACACAACUAUCUUCCUCCUCUUCCCUCUCUCUCUCCCACUUUCCCUCUCCCCUUCUCUCCCUC
rnacentral:ribozyme from 13 species